rnacentral:tRNA from 1 species
AUUUAUAUAGUAUAAAAAUAAUAUUCUUAACUUCCAAUUAAGAGCUCUAAGUUAAACUUAGUAUAAAUA